GACGAACGCUGGCGGCGUGCCUAAUACAUGCAAGUCGAACGCAGUGGGGACGGGUGAGUAACCCGUGGGUAACCUCCCAUCAGAGGGGAUAACACUUGGAAACAGGUGCUAAACCGAUACUGAUGGAUGGACCCGCGGUGCAUUAGCUGGUUGGGGGGGUAACAGCUCACCAAGGCCACGAUGCAUAGCCGACCGAGGGGGGUGAUCGGCCAAACUGGGACUGAGAAACGGCCCAGACUCCUACGGGAGGCAGCAGUAGGAAAUCUGCGGCAAUGGACGAAAGUCUGACCGAGCAACGCCGCGGUAGUGAAGAAGGUUUUCGGAUCGUAAAACUCUGUUGUUAGAGAAGCGGUAUCUAACAAGAAAGCCACGGCUAACUACGUGCCAGCAGCCGCGGUAAUA
rnacentral:rRNA from 1 species